AUUGAACGCUGGCGGCAGGCCUAACACAUGCAAGUCGAACGAGUGGCGGACGGGUGAGUAAUGUCUGGGAACAUGCCCGAUGGAGGGGGAUAUAUACUGGAAACGGUAGCUAAUACCGCAUACCAUCGGAUGUGCCCAGAUGGGAUUAGCUAGUAGGUGGGGUAACGGCUCACCUAUGCGACGAUCCCUAGCUGGUCUGCUAGGAUGACCAGCCACACUUGAACUGAGACAAGGUCCAGACUCCUACGGGAGGCAGCAGUGGUGAAUAUUGCACAAGUGGCGCAAGCCUGAUGCAGACAUGCGGCGUGUAUGAAGAAGGCCUUCGUGUUGUAAAGUACUUGCAGCGAGGAGGCGUUACUCGCAGAAGAGGCACCGACUAACUCCAUGCCAGCGGCCGCGGUAAUUC
rnacentral:rRNA from 1 species